AUUGAACGCUGGCGGCAUGCUUUACACAUGCAAGUCGAGCGGCAGCGCGGGGGCAACCCUGGCGGCGAGCGGCGAACGGGUGAGUAAUGCAUCGGAACGUAUCCUCGAGUGGGGGAUAACCCAGCGAAAGUUGGGCUAAUACCGCAUGAGCUCUGAGGAGGAAAGCGGGGGACCUGCGAGGGCCUCGCGCUGGAGGAGCGGCCGAUGUCCGAUUAGCUAGUUGGUGGGGUAAAGGCUUACCAAGGCGACGAUCGGUAGCUGGUCUGAGAGGGUGAUCAGCCACACUGGGACUGAGACACGGCCCAGACUCCUACGGGAGGCAGCAGUGGGGAAUUUUGGACAAUGGGGGCAACCCUGAUCCAGCCAUGCCGCGUGAGUGAAGAAGGCCUUCGGGUUGUAAAGCUCUUUCGGACGGAACGAAAUGGGCGGGACUAAUACUCCUGUCUGAUGACGGUACCGUAAGAAGAAGCACCGGCUAACUACGUG
rnacentral:rRNA from 1 species